CUCACUACGGUUUGGUUCUGGAAUGUUCCCGAAAGCUCAUGCACUGAAUGUUUGGUAUGCAGGGCAGUGGUAUUCAGAGACAGGACUGAGAAGGAUCAACACACCGCAUGGGGAGGUCAGAGGACACCUUAAUGGGGUCAGUCUUCUUCCAUUACACACCGGGAAUCGAACCGAGGACAUCAGGCUUGGCAGCAAGCGCCUUUACCUUAUGAGCCUUCUCACCAGCUCCAAGAGACUCUUCUUUGAGCUUUCUUGGGACCAAGACUGUGCUACACCAACGUGCUAGUGAAAGUGUCAUCCAUACAGGUGACAGCAACAUACUCUCCGUGGUCCCCAGUGAGGAUUAUAACAAUGCGAUCCCAGCAGGAGACACCAAGGAGGCCCUCCAGAGAUCUAUAUUCCAUUUGUCAAAGGAUGGCUACCCGGAAGCAUCCUGCCAGCCGGCCAUAAUGAACUCACCUGUGACCCCUGCCACCGAGCAGUCACAGCAGGAGGAUCUCAAGUGCAAGGCUAGCCUGGGAUAUCCUACAAGACCCUGUUGUUUGAGUCCCCACAACCAGAAGCCUCUGUGCUGACGGCCACUGCAGCUGAGUGACGUCAUGAGCCGGCUGCUGUGCCGGGGACUCGCUCCUCACCUCAGAUAGACGCCGUUGGUCACAUUUAGGCAUUGUGGUGGUUUGAAAAAAAAUGCCCCCCAAAAGGGAAUAGCCCUAUUAGGAGGUGUGACCUUGUUGGAAUAGGUAUGGUCUUGUUGGUGGAAAUAUGUCACUGUG